rnacentral:sRNA from 2 species
CCACGGAACGUACCUGGAACGAGAUCUGGGAGCGAGGACGGGGGACCCACUCUCCCGGCAGAGAUCGGGCGUCACGACGACGUCCUUGGGGUUAAGUCCCGGCCGAUCACGGAUCGCGUCGGGGCCGGGCAGCCUCUCGCCCGAACCCGACAGCUGACUUCGUAGGCGCGUGGAGAGAGGAAGC